rnacentral:rRNA from 1 species
GACGAAGGGGGCUAGCGUUGUUCGGAAUUACUGUGCGUAAAGCGCGUGUAGGCGGUUGUUCAAGUCAGGUGUGAAAGCCUUGAGCUCAACUCAAGAAAUGCACUUGAUACUGGAUGACUAGAGGACCGGAGAGGAUAGUGGAAUUCCCAGUGUAGUGGUGAAAUACGUAGAGAUUGGGAAGAACACCAGUGGCGAAGGCGGCUAUCUGGACGGUUUCUGACGCUAAGACGCGAAAGCGUGGGGAGCAAACAGG